UAUUAGUGAUGAACCUUGUUUAAAUAGAUGAAGCAAGGUGUUAUAAUAAAGUUGAGAGUGUUGUGUACGCAUAUUCAGAGACCUCCCCAAACUGUAGUUUGUAUUUCCAAUCAACAAACUCCCAUCUUCUUCUGCUAUCUCUCUCGAGGUUUUAAAGAGAGAGAUGGGAAGACUUUUCUUGAUCGAUCUUGAAGAAAACUUCUACAGCUGCAAGAAUUGCGAGACACCUGUAGCCCUUGCUAAUCAUCUCCUUUCAAGGGAUUACCAAUGCCCUUAUGGAAGGGCUUAUCUUUUUGAUAAAGUUGUCAAUGUCUUGGAUGGAGAGAUUGAAGAGCCAAUCCCAGAAUCGAAUUCUACUAUGAUCCACCUAUUCUGCGUUCAAUGCCAGUCCAUUGUUGGAUUCAAAUUUGUAAGGCGGGCCGUUCUUGAGAAUCAGAGGUCCAUGAUUUUUCUCAUAAGGUGUUAGCUUACGACGAGUUUCGGAGGUACAGAGAAGGAAAGUUUAUCCUUGCAAGGUUGAAGAUAUUGGUGCCUGGUGAAUACUCGAACAUGCCUGCUCUUGAAGAUGUUUGAUUUACUUACCAUUUUGAACUGUACAUUCUUUAUGCUACCUUCAUCAUGUUGUUAAAAUGUAGUAUCUCAGGAAAUAGAUACUUUACAAGUCUGCUAGUUUCCUUUUGAAUUGUAUUUUCUUUAUGCUACCUUCAUCAUGUGGUUAAUACUUUCCCUUUAUGAGGUCUUUGAU